rnacentral:rRNA from 1 species
GACGAACGCUGGCGGCGUGCUUAACACAUGCAAGUCGAACGGAAAGGCCCUGCUUUUGUGGGGUGCUCGAGUGGCGAACGGGUGAGUAUCACGUGAGUAACCUGCCCUUGACUGUGGGAUAACUUAUGGAAACUGGGGCGCAUACCGGAUAGGAGCUCCUUCUGCACGGUGGGGGAUGGAAAGUUUCGGCGGUUGGGCAUUGACGUGCGGUCCAUCAUCGUGUUGGUGGGGUGGUGGCGUAACAAGGCUUUGACGGGUAGCCAGCCUGAGAGGGUGACCGGCCACAUUGGGCUAGAGGAGCGACCCAGAGGGCUUCGGGAGGCAGCAGUGGGAAAUAGUGCACGAUGGGCGGAAGCCGGAUGGAGCAACGCCGCGUGCGGGAUGACGGCCGUCGGGUUGUAAACCGCUUUCGCCUGUGACGAAGAGUGAGUGACGGUAAUGGGUAAAGAAGCACCGGCUAACUACGUG